UCAAAUAUUAAUCAUGAAUGAUCUGAUCAUUAACCCAUAAUUCAACGGAUCCAAACAAAUGCACUGCACAACAGAGUUACAUCGAAUAGAUCAAAGCGAAGAUGCAAUGAUCAUUCUAUUGGAGAUCAAGAGAUAGAUAUGUAGGUACUAACUACGGACCCGUAGGUCCGGUGAACUACUCACACAUCACCAUGGGAGCAACAAUGUAGAUCUAGAGGUCCUCUAUGAUCGAUUCCCCCUCCGACAGGGCACCAAAGAAGGGAUCCAGAUGGCCUCAGGGAGGAACAGAGACUUGCGGAGGCGGAGAAAGUGUUUUGGGGUGCUCCUUAUGGUUUUUGGGAUUAAUGAUAAUUUAUAGGACGAAGAGGUAUGCCAAGUGGCAGCCGAGGGGCGCACGAGGCAAAAGGGCGCGCCGACCACCCUGGACGCGCCCUAUUUUGUGGUGCUCCCCUUUUGUAGCUUCUGGCCUCCUCCCAAAGCUUCCAGGUCUUCUUUUGUUCUAGAAAAAAAUCACCAAAUAGUUUCAUGGCAAUUGGACUUCGUUUGGUAUUGUAAACCUGAAAAGCAAAAAAACACGCAGAAAACAUGAACUCGCACUAGGCACUCGGUCAAUAGAUUAGUGCCCAAAAAUAAUAUAAAGUGAUAGAUAAAUCCCAUAAGGUAUACUAGAAUGAUAAUAUAAUAGCAUAGAACAAUCAAACAUUAUAGAUAUGUUGGAGAUGUAUCAGCAUCCCCAAGCUUAAUUCCUACUCAUCCUCGAGUAGAUAAAUGAUAAAAACAGAAUUUUUGAUGUGACAUGCUAUCUAACAUGUAAUGUAUUGCAGGUUUGUUCGUUGAGAAAUGAUGAAUUAACAAAUAUCAACAUAGCAAUGCUUAUAAACACAAGCAACAUAGUCGUCAAGUUUAAAAUCAUAAGAUCCUUAAAGAAUGUUCAUCCACUAUUCAUCUUCUCAUAUAAAUAUAGCAUGGUUGUGUCCUCACCACAUAAAUACAAAUGUUAAACAUCACAGUGUCAAGUUAGGCAAUUGGAUCGUACUUUUUAACAUGCUUCAGCUUUUUAUGACUUGCGCAAUAUAUGAGCGUGAAUCAUGGAUAUUGUUGGGGAACGUUGCAUGGGAAACAAAAAAAUCCUAACUCACCAAGAUCAAUCUAGGAGAUGCACAUCUACAAGAGGAGAGAUUGUAUCUACAUACCCUUGUAGAUCGCUAAGCGAAAGCGUUAAAGAAUGCAGUUGAUGUAGUGGUACAUCUUUGCGAUCCAAUCAUGAUCCGUCCCACGAACUACCGAUCGAGCGUCUAACGGACGACACCUCCGCGUUCAUCACACGUACAGAUUGAUGACGUCUCCGCCUCCUAGAUCCAGUGAGCUAGGGCUGAGUAGUAGAUGAGUUCUCUGGCAAUAUGUGGCAUGGCGGCGGUGGUGGUUGUGCUAUCCUGGUAGGGCUACACCUAGUGCUACCGAAACCGCGAACGGAGGAGAAAACGAUCUAGAGAGAGAGGGGCGCCAAGGGCUUCGUGUGUGCUCUUGACGGGGCCCUCCCCUCUAUAUAUAGGUGAAGGGAGUGGGGAACAACCCCUCCAAGCCCUAGGGCGAGCCAUGGGAGGAGGAGGUGGAAUCCUAGCCCCCCUCCUUCCCUUCCAUACAAAGGUGGACUUUCCACCUUUCCCAACUGCAUGGGCCUUGAGGGACUUGUGCACUUGCCCCAAUAAGGCCACAAUGUCUCCCCUCAGCCUAUCCAAACCCUUGGGACGUGGUAGAACCCUUGGUGGACAUACGUACUCCUACCGAAGUUCCUGGAACCUUCUAGAAACUUCCCGGUAUCAUACUGGAAAAACCCAAAACUUUUCCGGUAGCCAAAAUAUGACUUCCUAUAUAUAAAUCUUUACCUCCGAACCAUUCUGGAGCUCCUUGUUACAUCCGGGAUUUCAUCCGGGACUCCGAACAACAUUCGAUUACCAUCACACAUAACUCACUAAUACCAAAUCGUCACCGAACCUUAAGUGUGCAGACCCUUUGGGUUCGAGAACUAUGAAGACAUGACCGAGACACUAUUCUGUCAAUAACCAAUAGCGGGACCUGGAUGUCCAUAUUGGCUCCUACAUAUUCUACGAAGAUCUUUAUCGGUCGAACCAUGUUGUCAAGGAUUCAAUCAAUCCCGUAUAAAAUUAUGUUUGUCUAUUGGUAUGUUACUUUCUCGAGAUUCGAUCGUCGAUAUCUCCAUACCUAGUUCAAUCUCAUUAUCCACAAGUCUCUUUACUCGUUCUGUAAUACAAGAUCCCAUGACUAACUCUUUAGUCACAUUUCUUGCAAGCUUGUUGUGAUGUUUUAUUACCGAGUGGGCCUUGAGAUACCUCUCUGUCACACAAAGUGACAAACCCAGUCUUGAUCCAUGCCAACUCAAGACACGCCCUCGGAUAUACAUCUAGAGCACAUUUAUAGUCACCUAGUGUCGGGACCCCGAUCCUAAGCCAUAGGAAUCCAGCCUGUAACACAUCGCAUCCCUUUGCGGUCUCACGCACGGUUAACUCCACGCCUGCAGCCUUACCUUAGCCGGGACCGUUUGCGUCUUUUGACUCACGUAUGCAAUAGUGUUGCUAGCAUUCCAAUGUCAAAGAACCCGGAUCGACAAGUCUAGUCAUAAACCAAAGUGGCAGUACCGCACAAGGACA
rnacentral:lncRNA from 1 species